GAACCGUCCAAACGUUAUUCGGAAUCACUGGGCUUAAAGGGUGCGUAGGCGGCGCGGUAAGUUGGGUGUGAAAUCCCUCGGCUCAACCGAGGAAUUGCGCCCAAAACUACCGUGCUCGAGGGAGGCAGAGGUAAGCGGAACUGAUGGUGGAGCGGUGAAAUGCGUUGAUAUCAUCAGGAACACCGGUGGCGAAGGCGGCUUACUGGGCCUUUUCUGACGCUGAGGCACGAAAGCUAGGGUAGCGAACGGGAUUAGAUACCCCGGGUAGUCCUAGCUGUAAACGAUGAGCACUUGAUCGGAGGAACUCCCCAUAUUUUCCGAUCGUAGCGAAGUGUUAAGUGCUCCGCCUGGGGAGUAUGGUCGCAAGGCUG
rnacentral:rRNA from 1 species